CACGUAGGGUGCGAGCGUUGUCCGGAAUUAUUGGGCGUAAAGAGCUCGUAGGCGGCUUGUCGCGUCGACUGUGAAAAACUCGGGGCUCAACUCCGAGCUUGCAGUCGAUGCGGGCAGGCUAGAGUUCGGUAGGGGAGACUGGAAUUCCUGGUGUAGCGGUGAAAUGCGCAGAUAUCAGGAGGAACACCGGUGGCGAAGGCGGGUCUCUGGGCCGAUGACUGACGCUGAGGAGCGAAAGCGUGGGGAGGCGAACAGGAAU
rnacentral:rRNA from 1 species